AAAAAGUUAGAGCAAUUGCUAACUAGAACUUUGUCCAAGCCUAAAUCCAAGUAGGUAAACUUGACUGAGAACCUGACAAAGCCAGACCGAGUAGUUUCACUUUAAAUUCAUGACCACAACUCUCAAGAAGGCAAAACACUUGGCAUCCUGGAAACUUUGCUUUCCUGCUCUCUGACACACCUUCUUCUUCCUCAGACCUUCUGUAUCUCUCUCCCCUACUCAACUGUCAGCUGAUUUUCCCUUUAUAUUUCAUGAAGGAAAGAAAAUAUAUCAGAAAUAAAAAUCCUUCAAGUUGGCUGGGUACAGUGGCUCAUGUCUGUAAUCCCAGCACUUUGGGAGGCCGAGGUGGGCGGAUCACGAAGUCAGGAGAUCGAGACCAUCCUGGCUAACACAGUGAAACCCCAUCUCUACUAAAAAUACAAAAAAUUAGCCAGGCGUGGUAGCGGGCACCUGUAGUCCCAGCUACUUGGGAGGCUGAGGCAGGAGAAUGGUGUGAACCCAGGAGGUGGAGCUUGCAGUGAGCCGAGAUCAGGCCACUGCACUCCAACCUGGGCAACAGAGUGAGUCUCUGUCUCAAAAAAAAAAAAAAAAAACUAAAAAAAAAAACCCUUCAAGUUUUCCACUCACCUGCUUGCAGCUGCGACCACCUUCUGUCUUUCCUGUUAAAAUGGGUGCAUUCUGCUUCCUGUCUAAUACCUGUGCUCUGGAGCCCAUUUUUCCUUGCCUUCUCACAAGCUGCCUUCCAGUAGCAUUUCCUCUCUCUGCUCAAUCAUGGUUUUCUGCCUUCCUACUCAGUCAUUCUUUUUAGUGUACCAACAUGUGCUAAUGUCUUCCAUCUUAAAAACAUCCCUACCACCUCUCCAGAU
rnacentral:lncRNA from 1 species